rnacentral:rRNA from 1 species
CCCAGACUCCUACGGGAGGCAGCAGUGGGGAAUCUUCCGCAAUGGGCGAAAGCCUGACGGAGCAACGCCGCGUGAUCGAAUGAAGGCCUUCGGGUUGUAAAGAUCUGUUGACAGGGACGAAUAAGCAAUGCGAAUAGUUUUGUGUAUGACGGUACCUGUUUAGAAAGCCCCGGCUAACUACGUGCCAGCAGCCGCGGUAAUACGUAGGGGGCGAGCGUUAUCCGGGUUCACUGGGUGUAAAGGGAGCGUAGACGGCCAUGCAAGCCAGGGGUGAAAGCCCGGGGCCCAACCCCGGGAGUGCCCUUGGAACUGUGCGGCUAGAGUGCGGGAGGGGCAGGCGGAAUUCCUGGUGUAGCGGUGAAAUGCAUAGAUAUCACGCAGAACUCCGAUUGCGAAGGCAGCAUACCGGCGCCCGACUGACGCUGAGGCACGAAAGCGUGGGGAUCGAACAGGAUUAGAUACCCGAGUAA